UUGAUCCUGGCUCACGACGAACGCUGGCGGCGCGCCUAACACAUGCAAGUCGAACGGAGCUGAGAGGAGCUUGCUUUUCUUAGCUUAGUGGCGAACGGGUGAGUAACGCGUGAGUAACCUGCCCUGGAGUGGGGGACAACAGUUGGAAACGACUGCUAAUACCGCAUAAGCCCACGGCCCGGCAUCGGGCUGCGGGAAAAGGAUUUAUUCGCUUCAGGAUGGACUCGCGUCCAAUUAGCUAGUUGGUGAGGUAACGGCCCACCAAGGCGACGAUUGGUAGCCGGACUGAGAGGUUGAACGGCCACAUUGGGACUGAGACACGGCCCAGACUCCUACGGGAGGCAGCAGUGGGGGAUAUUGCACAAUGGGGGAAACCCUGAUGCAGCGACGCCGCGUGGAGGAAGAAGGUUUUCGGAUUGUAAACUCCUGUCGUUAGGGACGAUAAUGACGGUACCUAACAAGAAAGCACCGGCUAACUACGUGCCAGCAGCCGCGGUAAAACGUAGGGUGCAAGCGUUGUCCGGAAUUACUGGGUGUAAAGGGAGCGCAGGCGGACCGGCAAGUUGGAAGUGAAAACCAUGGGCUCAACCCAUGAAUUGCUUUCAAAACUGCUGGCCUUGAGUAGUGUAGAGGUAGGUGGAAUUCCCGGUGUAGCGGUGGAAUGCGUAGAUAUCGGGAGGAACACCAGUGGCGAAGGCCGACCUACUGGGCACCAACUGACGCUGAGGCUCGAAAGCAUGGGUAGCAAACAGGAUUAGAUACCCUGGUAGUCCAUGCCGUAAACGAUGAUUACUAGGUGUUGGAGGAUUGACCCCUUCAGUGCCGCAGUUAACACAAUAAGUAAUCCACCUGGGGAGUACGACCGCAAGGUUGAAACUCAAAGGAAUUGACGGGGGCCCGCACAAGCAGUGGAGUAUGUGGUUUAAUUCGAAGCAACGCGAAGAACCUUACCAGGUCUUGACAUCCGAUGCAUAGCACAGAGAUGUGUGAAGUCCUUCGGGACAUCGAGACAGGUGGUGCAUGGUUGUCGUCAGCUCGUGUCGUGAGAUGUUGGGUUAAGUCCCGCAACGAGCGCAACCCUUAUUGCCAGUUACUACGCAAGAGGACUCUGGCGAGACUGCCGUUGACAAAACGGAGGAAGGUGGGGAUGACGUCAAAUCAUCAUGCCCUUUAUGACCUGGGCUACACACGUACUACAAUGGCGUUUAACAAAGAGAAGCAAGACCGCGAGGUGGAGCAAAACUCAGAAACAACGUCUCAGUUCAGAUUGCAGGCUGCAACUCGCCUGCAUGAAGUCGGAAUUGCUAGUAAUCGCGGAUCAGCAUGCCGCGGUGAAUACGUUCCNCGGGCAUUGUACACACGGCCCGUC
rnacentral:rRNA from 1 species